UCCAGGCCCUACGGGGCGCAGCAGUCGCGAAAACUUCACAAUGGAGGCAACUCCGAUGAGGGAAUUCCUAGUGCUAGUACAUUAGUAUUAGCUUUUCUUUAGUAUAGAACGCUAAAGGAAUAAGGGCUGGGUAAGACGGGUGCCAGCCGCCGCGGUAAUACCCGCAGCCCAAGUGGUGGUCGAUUUUAUUGAGUCUAAAACGUUCGUAGCCGGUUCAUUAAAUCCUUGGGUAAAUCGGGAAGCUUAACCUUCCGACUUCCGAGGAGACUGGUGAACUUGGGACCGGGAGAGGCAAGAGGUACUCCUGGGGUAGGGGUAAAAUCCUGUAAUCCUAGAAGGACCACCGGUGGCGAAGGCGUCUUGCUAGAACGGAUCCGACGGUGAGGGACGAAGCCCUGGGUCGCAAACGGGAUUAGAUACCCCGGUAGUCCAGGGUGUAAACGCUGCAGACUUGGUGUUGGGGACCCUUCGGGGGUGUUCAGUGCCGGAGAGAAGUUGUUAAGUCUGCUGCUUGGGGAGUACGUCCGCAAGGAUGAAACUUAAAGGAAUUGGCGGGGGAGCACCGCAACGGGAGGAACGUGCGGUUUAAUUGGAGUCAACGCCGG
rnacentral:rRNA from 1 species